GGGCCCCCGUUCCUUGGUAACAAUGGAGCAGAAAAUGGCCGCCUGAGAGGAGAGGCAGGGCGACGCUUAGGCUGCUUGGGGACGGACGGAGCGCGGCAAGCCGGCACCGAGCCCGCUGAGGACCGGAGAGAGCAGCGGAGCGAGAGCUGAGGAGACGGCGGCGGGCGACAUUAUUCCAUUUGUCAAGAUGGAAAGCUCAGAUUCUAGUGAUAAAGGAAAUAUUGAUCAAUCAGAAGCACAACGUCAGAGUCAGCUAGAUCGCUUAGAUCGAGAGGAAGCUUUCUAUCAGUUUGUAAACAACCUGAGUGAAGAGGACUACAGGCUUAUGAGAGACAACAAUUUGCUAGGAACACCAGGUGAAAUUACUGAAGAAGAGUUGCUGAGAAGGCUGCACCAAGUUAAAGAAGGUCCGCCACAGCAAAACAGUGAUGAGAAUAGAGGUAUAUACAGUAUUUGUGAAAACUCUUAACUUUAGCACCCCAUACGGACCUUAACUUGAGUGCAGGAGUGGAACAAGUUAAGCCUAGGCAGGUGCAAGGUGCAGAGUCCACAGAAGAUGUUUCAAAUGGAGAUUCUAUAAUAGACUGGCUUAAUUCAGUCCGACAGACUGGAAAUACAACACGAAGUGGGCAGCGAGGAAACCAAUCUUGGAGAGCCGUGAGCCGGACUAACCCAAAUAGUGGUGACUUCAGAUUCAGUUUGGAAAUAAAUGUCAACCGUAAUAAUGGGAACACAAAUCCGGAAACUGAGAAUGAGCCAUCUGCAGAGCCUUCCGGUGGGGAGGAUUUGGAAAACAGCCAAAGUGACUCUGAAAUUCCAAGAUCUGAAUCACCAUCUGUAAGGCAGCCUGGAUCAGAAAGGAGCACUUCAGAAGAGUUAACUGAGGAAGCUUCUCCUAGAGGGCAGAGGAGAGCGAGAAGUAGGAGCCCAGAACAGCGGAGAACACGGGCUAGGACUGAUAGAAGUAGGUCACCUAUUAAUCCAGUGAGUGAGGCUCCUCGCAGGUCUCAUCACAAUACAUCAUCUCAAACGUUUGACCAUUCAGCAGUGAAUGAAGCCGAGGGAAGCUCUAGAACUAGGCAGCAUGUGACAUUAAGGCAGCAUGCAGUGGGGACUGAGAUUCCUAGUGAAAACGCAGUUCUGUUUUCAGCCCCUGAAACAAGACCUGUUCCUCAAGCAGCAGGUUCUUCAGAAACUAAUGGUGCCAGUGAGUCUGCAGCUCCUGGACAGAGGCCUCCUACCAUAGUACUCGACCUCCAGGUGAGAAGAGUUCGUCCAGGAGAAUAUCGGCAAAGGGACAGCAUAGCCAACAGAACUCGGUCCCGGUCCCAGACUCCUAACAACACAGUCACUUAUGAAAGUGAACGGGGAGGGUUUAGGCGUACGUUUUCACGUUCAGAACGAGCUGGAGUGAGAACUUAUGUCAGCACCAUUAGGAUUCCUAUUCGUAGGAUCUUAAAUACAGGCUUAAGUGAGACUACAUCAGUUGCAAUUCAGACUAUGCUAAGGCAGAUAAUGACAGGCUUUGGAGAGCUGAGUUACUUUAUGUACAGUGAUAGCGAUGCAGAUCCUAGUGGCCCAACUCCAAAUCAGAACGUGGAUGCUUCUGAGCCACAGAACGGAGGGAGUGGUAGUUCAAGCAAUGAAAGUACAGAUGUUAGCUCAGGGGAAGUAUUUGAAGGUAGUAAUGAAGGUGGUUCAACAUCUGGUGCCAGACGGGAAGGUCGGAAUACGAGAGGAUCGGUCACAUUUGAAGAAAGUGGUUCUCUACCAUUCCUUAGCCUAGCACAAUUUUUCCUACUAAACGAAGAUGAUGAUGACCAACCAAGAGGACUCACCAAAGAACAAAUUGACAACCUAGCAAUGAGGAAUUUCGGUGAGAGUGAUGCUUUGAAAACAUGUAGUGUGUGUAUAACAGAGUACACGGAAGGAAACAAGCUUCGUAAAUUGCCUUGUUCUCACGAGUAUCACGUCCACUGCAUCGAUCGCUGGUUAUCAGAAAAUUCCACUUGUCCCAUUUGUCGCAGAGCAGUCUUAGCUUCUGGUAACAGAGAGAGUGUUGUCUAAAUGAGAUCUGAAUUUAUGGCUAAGCAGCUAGUGUAAUAGUGAUGGGCAAAGAAGUCACUUCCUUUAUGGCCACUUUUUGAGUGGUAACUCAAUGUAUAGUAAUUACUUGGAGUGAAUCUUCCCUCAUGAAAUAAUUUUUCUCUGAAUUCAAGCUUUUAAAAUCGGAAAAAUUUGUUAGGGUUUUCAAGAUCUAGUUGGUUUGUGUGAUGAAUUUCAUUUGUCCAAAGACAUCUACUCACUUAAAAGUACUUCUUUCUUUAUGAAGAGUAAUAAGUUACUCCCCUUACUCCUCCAGUCCAAUAAACAUUUUGUCCUCAACAUUGUGCUUAUGAGUAGUCUUUCUGGGAAGUCAUCCCAGCUAAAUGUGCAGGAGUCAUAGCGGAAUUUUUGCAAGAAAUCCAACUGACUAAAAAAAUAACCUGAAUUUAAUUGCAUACUUGAAAAUAGUUUUUCAUACUGGGUUAAUAUUGGACGUGUCUGUGUAAAUAACACUAAUGUUAGCCCUUUCCCCAUCACUAUGGCACGCUGUAGGAUGAGCUGUUAGCUUAACUGGGAUAUUUAUCUUGUUGUGGAAAUAUAAGAAUUGCCUAUGCUUGUUUAAAUAAAAAAAAAAAUCUGUUUUAAAAUUGUAAAGCUUUUUUGUAGAAGCUCAGUACUUUUCCAAUGCACUGUUGUAUUAACGCAUUAAGAAUUAAAAUUGUACCACGCUUAGAAAUUGAGAAUGCUUUUCAUACAAAACCCACCACAGAGAGAGCAAACUAAAUACAAGAGAGCUGCUUUUGUAACUGUGUACCUGUCAAGAGCAGUGCAUAUCUGUACUAUUUAUGUGAACAACUACUGUAAUAUAAAAGCAUUUGAAUUGGACACUUAAUUGGCUUUAAAAAAUUGAAGCAAAAUGUUUAUAACUGCAGUGUUUUGGCUCAGUAAUCCCACCCAAAAAGAUGAUAAAAAUUAGAAACUGUUCUAAGGGUUGGUUAUUUCUUUGUGUGGUUACUAAUAUGUAAUAAUACAGACCAACAUGCACCAGUUCAUUUGGUGGCAUGUAUGCCCUACUGUUGUAUUUUUACUUGAAACUUUGAGGUAACCCUAUGUAAUUCUUCAGCAGACAAAUACUGAUAAUUUGGGUUUUUUUUUUUCCCCCACACCAGCUUCAACAAUAUUAGUAAUCUCUGGAUCUAUUUAGUGAACAUGCUAAUGUGUAUCCACUGUUCAUAGCCUGUGACUCAAGUGCUGCAAAGAAAUAAGUAUUAACUCGAAAAGAGAUUUGUAUUUAAUCUAGCAUUCUAAUAAUGAAAACUAUAACUGAUUAUUGGAGUAUAUUUAAUGUUAAGAUUGGCUACACAUUUAAAAAACAAAACACCUUUAUACUCCUGUUGGAAAGACUGAAAUCUUAAAUUUAAAAGUAUUUAUGUGGCAUAUAGAAAUAGAGGAUUGGAAAAUGUAUUGGCACCUGGAUGUGGUGGCCCUGCAAGAGCAGGGAUCAGACCAGCUGGACUCAAAGGUCCUACCAACCACAUCUAGUCUGGGAUUCUGUACCUCAGUUAUCAUUGUGUCAGGGGGAAGUAUCACUCCUCUUCAAUGAGCCAUCUUUGUUUUAUUCUCUAGUGACUUUUUUUUUCCUAGCCUGUAUCUGCAACAAAGAAAGCAGUAUAUUUUUAAUCUUUAGGGCAGUAGUUCAAAAGGGAUAUGAACUGCUCUUGCUGGCUAUAUGGGAAAUGUUGCUUGCUCCUCAGAUGACAAAACCAAAGCUGGCCUACCUUUUUUUUCCUAAUUAAAACACAUUUUUGGUGUGUUACAGUGGUGGUUGCAUAAAAUAUAGUCUCUGCUCUAAGCCAUUUUAAUGUCUCAUCAGCUAGUUAAGGAUUUCACGAUGUCCCAGAAUUCCAAAUUUUUUUUGUGUGUGCAUUUCGUGGUGUUUGGCUUAGUGGGAAACCCUGACUGGCUAUUGAGCUUGCUUUCCUCCUGUUGGGAUGCACCAUCAUGGCAGAGGGAAUACAUGUAGUGUCUUUUAUUUUCUUUUUACAGAAUAAAUAAGCUCAUGCUCUUACUGUUUUUCCCUCUGAUAUGCAUCACUGUAAAAUUGGGAGUUAAAUAUUAAUUUCAGGUGCUGGACUCUUAUGAAUGUGGGUAAUACAUUUGAUGCCAAAUCUUCCUCAACAGAAUAAUGCUUCUGAAUUUCUUCCGGUAGCAUUCGCAUAGCAAAUAUGUGCUAUCAGUUGCAGUUGCCAGUAGCUUUUUUGACUUACUGGAGUCUAGAAUUAGAAGGGAAAAAACACUUCUCAGCAUGAAUGCCAUUUUAGUUUUUGAGAAUCUGGCAUACAUUUCUGAGGUCUAAGGAUGGUGACCAGAAAGAAAGGAGCCCACUAGUGCUAAUUAAUGCAAAGCACGGCUGUGAUGCGUGAUAUUCAACAUAGCUUUCUUUUCAAUGUUCUGAGUUUCCAGUAACUGUAUACUUUGGAAGACUCAACUUUACAGUUUUGCUAUAGCUUAAUAGUGGCAUGCCUUAACAUUUUAUCUUUCUGUAACAAUAGCAACUAAUAAAAUGUUGGAGGUUUCCCAAAUGGUACCAGGAACAAAUAAUUUAUCAUGGAAUGGCUUGGAUUGGAAGAGACCAUAAGGAUCAUUCAGUCCCAACCCCAUGGGCUGGUUGCUCCUCACCAGCUCAGGCUGCCUGGGGCCCCAUUCAGCCUGGCCACGGAUGGUGCACCCACAGCUCUCUGGGCAGCUUGUGCCAGCACCUCCCCAUCCUCUCAGUAAAGAAUUUCCUCCAACGUCUAACUUAAAUCAUCCCCUCUGGUCCUGAGAAUUUAACCUCAAUUAAGAAGACCUUGAACAUUGUUUUAUAUGCCUUUUCUGAUACUGAGUGCACUAGCGGUGCUGGGGGCUAGUUGCCCAACACCUGGAAGAGUUGGCAAGAAUGAAGUUGCUGAUACAACAAAGAGCUCAAUGUUACUGACCUAUCUGUCGGUCUCUGCAGCGGUUCUGGGGAAGAGUAGCGUCCCUGCUACUCAGAGCUGCAUCUGGAAGCUCAGUGUUCACAAAUGCCUUUAUGCUGUACCAGAAAUCCCAUGUGUUCUGCGUCGCAGUCGUAGGGCUGAAGUCUGGCAAGAGAAGUUCCAGGGUGCUGCAUUUUACCCUAAUACCUUGAGGUAGUUUAAUUUCUCUACUUUUAAAGUUGCACUGCAGAUAGGAAAAGUCAAUAUUUACAUUUCAGUCACUAAUAAAACAUCAAAUGCUGUGAUUUAAAAGGUUCACAAUUAGCCUAUUUUACAGCUUCAAAGUUAAGUUGAUAUUGGGCAUUUGUACCCAUUGCUUCCCUCAGUUAACACUUUCUUGGUAUUGCAGGUGGAAUGCAGCAACUUGCGUCACAGUUACAGCCAUAUGAAGGGCUAAAAUGGCCAUUUUGGUGGCUUUCAAAUGCCUGAGAGAAAUAAGAGAAGCAGAGGCAGCCCUGCUGCAUCAGCUGCCUGGUUCCUAGUGCCACCUUGUGGGAGCCUCUCAGCCUUCUGUGGAGCUGUGGUAAAGCCAGCUUGUUGCUUAGAGCGGCAUGGUUGCUUUUGCGUUGAAGGCUUUUGCUUAAUUUUGGAAGGGGAUUCCCUGUUAUCGCCUGCCUCAGUAGUUACGGUGGUGUUUGCAAGCAGCGAACCGCCCAUGCUGCGGUUGUGAGUACCUGUCUGGCUGGUGGGUGAGCUGAGUUCCUUUCUUUGGGGACAGCGCUGUGUCUGCAGGACCUCCGCACGCAGCUGUGAAAGCAGUCACAAGGCCAAAACCUAAAAGAACGCAUGGCACUUUAAUGUCAGGGUGUGUUUGAUAGUUUAGCUCAAAUUGCAAACUGAUAAGGAUUUGUGGGUGCUUUCCUUUUUCCUUUAAAUCAGGUCUUCAUCCGUUCAAAGACUGUGAGGCCUCGUUGCUGGAUUUUGUUAGAUUUCCCUUUUACGUGUGCACUUUUUAAUUACCUGCAAGAGGUUCAGGUUUUUUUUGCAAAGAAUUUGUAGGCAGAUAAUUGACUUGUUUUAAACACGGUUUCAUUACUGUAGCAACCGCAUGCGUAGAAAUUACUCGUUAAAUGUUUAAAGACUUUUAGUAGGAAGUAUUAAUGUGCGUGCACAGCAGCUGCACUAACGUGAUACUCUACCAGUUUUGAAGGAGCCAUAAUUGUCCAUUGUGUCAACUUGCAAACUAAUGUAUUUCCCACUAAUGUUGACACAAUGGACUGUAAUGACUGUCAUUCCAGUUUCCUGUCAGUUAGCUGGAUUAUGCAAAUAUGUCGGGCCAGAGGACUGUUUCCCUGUCUAAUUGCAGUGGAUGUUUAUCUUGUGAUGGUUGCCUACACAAUGGGGAGGUCCCGCAUGUUGUCUAAUCAGAGAAUCUAGCUGGAAGAUGAGAGAAGGGCUGGCAGGGCUGACCACGUCUGUGACUAUUAGCAGUGCGAUGUUUUCUGAGUCUCCCAGCAUCGCCUUCAUGUCACACCACAACACAGAGGUCCAUCCAGUUGGCUUGAGAUCCUUUCCAUUGCCAUACUGUGUACGUUCAUGCUGCCCGAUGUCUCAUUUUUCUCACCGUCCUCCUGCAGCGACGUGGGUUGCAUGAUGAGGAGAUGUAAUGAUGUUUGGAGCUGAUGAGGUGCACAGUCAUUAUGGGCAUCUGCCUGCUCGCUUUGGAUGAGAGUCGGCUCGGAGCCAUGAUAAGGGAAUUUAUAACAAAUUCAGAAGUAUUUCCAAUCACUGCAUACACCAGACUGUUUGUUUGUUCUUGACUAGAGAGGGAAGAGAGAGAGUGAAGGUUGAUGAUAGCUUACCCAAAGUACGUUAAAGUUGUGUUGUGUUAAAAAAGAAAAUAAAUUUGCGUCUGUUAAAGCAGGGCUUCCCAACCUCUUCUUGAGGUGUCCCUUUUUUUUCCUCUUACAGGGAAGCAUACUUUUGGAUUCGUUUUGGUUAUUUUAUGUGGUUUUGAUCCUUUAGCUGAAAUACCCGAGCUCCCUUCCUGAAUCUCACUCUGCUGUAAAGCUGUUGGUUGGGAAGCCCUGAAUUCAACUGAGAAUGUAAGAUGGGUUUUUUGUUGUUGUUGUUUUUGGUUUUUUUUUUUUUUUGGUUUGGUUUUUUGGGUUUUUUUUUUCAUUUUUUUCUUUUUUGUUGUUGUUUUGUACAGUGCUUUACAUCUGUUUAUACUCGUUUAGUACAAAAUGGUACUCUGAGGUCAUCGGACAACAGUUCGAUCAGAUUUGAUAGCUAAUAUUUAGGAGGAGUUUGUUCCCUAUGUAAGAUGUCAUAAUGCAAAUUUAAAUAGACUCAAUAAAAUGCAUGAAGUGAUAA